CCGACGCAGGGGCAUCUAUCGGCCCGGCAGCUGCGAGGUCGAGGACCACAGGGAAGAAGCGAGGGCGACGUGGCUUUAGGAGAGGCUGUACUGGGAGAGGGCCCUGAGUGCAUCCUGAGAUUGACGGGCUGGAGGAAAAGUUGUCUCAGUGUCGGAAGGACCUGGAGGCCGUGACCUCCCAGCUCCACAGGGCAGAGCUGAGUCCUGAGGACCGGAGGUCUCUGGAGAAGGAGAAAAACGCCCUCAUGAACAAAGCCUCGAAAUAUGAGAAGGAGCUAAAGCUGCUUCGACAAGAGAACCAGAAGAACAUGCUACUCUCGGUGGCCAUCUUCAUAGUCUUC
rnacentral:lncRNA from 1 species